GCGGUUUUUGAGGAUGUCUUUUGUCCGCUUUCAAAUGCCCUCCAACUUUUCUGGUUUUAUUUUCAGCCUAGUUUGGAGAGGAAACAAAAACUAGUC
rnacentral:telomerase_RNA from 1 species